CCUACGGGAGGCAGCAGUGGGGAAUAGUGCACAAUGGGGGAAACCCUGCUGCAGCGACGCCGCGUGAGUGAAGAAGUAAUUCGUUAUGUAAAGCUCUAUCAGCAGGGCAGAAAAUGACGGUACCUGAGUAAGAAGCCCCGGCUAACUACGUGCCAGCAGCCGAGGUAAUACGUAGGGGGCAAGCUUUAUCCGGAUUUACUGGGAGGAAAGGGAGCGUGGACGGCAGUGCAGGUAUGGAGUGAAAGGCGGGGGAUCAACCCCCGUACUGCUCUGGCAACUGUACGGCUGGAGUGCAGGAGAGGUAAGUGGAAUGCCUAGUGUAGCGGUGAAAUGCGUAGAUAUUAGGAGGAACACCAGUGGCGAAGGCGGCUUACUGGACUGUAACUGACGUUGAGGCUCGAAAGCGUGGGGAGCAAACAGGAUUAGAUACCCGAGUAGUC
rnacentral:rRNA from 1 species